UAACAAGGAUUCCCCUAGUAACUGCGAGUGAAGCGGGAAAAGCUCAAAUUUAAAAUCUGGCGGUCUUCUGGCCGUCCGAGUUGUAGUCUGGAGAAGCGUUUUCCGCGUUGGACCGUGUACAAGUUUCCUGGAACGGAGCGUCAUAGAGGGUGAGAAUCCCGUCUUUGACACGGACCCCAAUGCUUUGUGAUGCGCUCUCAAAGAGUCGAGUUGUUUGGGAAUGCAGCUCAAAAUGGGUGGUGAAUUCCAUCUAAAGCUAAAUAUUGGCGAGAGACCGAUAGCGAACAAGUACCGUGAGGGAAAGAUGAAAAGCACUUUGGAAAGAGAGUUAAACAGUACGUGAAAUUGUUGAAAGGGAAACGCUUGAAGUCAGUCGCGUCGGCCGGGACUCAGCCUUGCAUCCGCUUGGUGUACUUUCCGGUCGACGGGCCAGCAUCAGUUUUGACCGCGAGAUAAAGGCGGAGGGAAUGUGGCUCUCUCGGGAGUGUUAUAGCCCUUCGUCAGAUGUCGCGGUUGGGACUGAGGAACUCAGCACGCCUUUAUGGCCGGGGCUCGCCCACGUACGUGCUUAGGAUGCUGGCGU
rnacentral:rRNA from 1 species